rnacentral:rRNA from 1 species
CGGCCGCGUCGACGACGAACGCUGGCGGCGUGCCUAAUACAUGCAAGUAGAACGCUGAAGAGAGGAGCUUGCUCUUCUUGGAUGAGUUGCGAACGGGUGAGUAACGCGUAGGUAACCUGCCUUGUAGCGGGGGAUAACUAUUGGAAACGAUAGCUAAUACCGCAUAACAAUGGAUGACACAUGUCAUUUAUUUGAAAGGGGCAAUUGCUCCACUACAAGAUGGACCUGCGUUGUAUUAGCUAGUAGGUGAGGUAACGGCUCACCUAGGCGACGAUACAUAGCCGACCUGAGAGGGUGAUCGGCCACACUGGGACUGAGACACGGCCCAGACUCCUACGGGAGGCAGGCAAGUAGGGAAUCUUCGGCAAUGGGGGGCAAACCCUGACCCGAGCAAACGCCG